UUUAUGUUUUGCAGGGUUACACACCUCUUCAUCUCGCCUCUCUACAUGGACAUGGCAACAUCAUCCAACUCCUGAUCAAUAACUACAUUGAUAAUGCCAAAGUCAAUAUCAGGGACUAUCAUGGGAAGAUGGCAGCUCAUUACUGGAAUGGCACCAUGGAUAUUUUUAACAAACAUGGAUCUCAUUCCGCUUGCAGAUGGUCAGGCGGGAGGCGUGGCCAAUGUUACGCUCAACUGUCUGCCCUGCUGUCUCGGAGUCACGGGAACAUCAAUGUGGAGAUGUGUGCUCACAGUCCUCUCACCCGCACGAGCCAGACACCUACUCCCUGAUAUAAAAAGAUACCAUAUUCAAACAGUACUGUAGGUUAAAAUAGUAAAAUUAUGAGUGAAAAACUAAUGUAACAGCUACAGAACA